AGUUCUGAACUUACUACGGCGAGUGAAGCGGUAAAAGCUCAAAUUUGAAAUCUGGUACUUUCAGUGCCCGAGUUGUAAUUUGUAGAAUUUGUCUUUGAUUAGGUCCUUGUCUAUGUUCCUUGGAACAGGACGUCAUAGAGGGUGAGAAUCCCGUUUGGCGAGGAUACCUUUUCUCUGUAAGACUUUUUCGAAGAGUCGAGUUGUUUGGGAAUGCAGCUCAAAGUGGGUGGUAAAUUCCAUCUAAAGCUAAAUAUUGGCGAGAGACCGAUAGCGAACAAGUACAGUGAUGGAAAGAUGAAAAGAACUUUGAAAAGAGAGUGAAAAAGUACGUGAAAUUGUUGAAAGGGAAGGGCAUUUGAUCAGACAUGGUGUUUUUUGCAUGCACUCGCCUCUCGUGGGCUUGGGCCUCUCAAAAAUUUCACUGGGCCAACAUCAAUUUUGGCAGCAGGAUAAAUCAUUAAGAAUGUAGCUACUUCGGUAGUGUUAUAGCUUUUUGGAAUACUGUUAGCCGGGAUUGAGGACUGCGCUUCGGCAAGGAUGUUGGCAUAAUGGUUAAAUGCCGCCCGUCUUGAAACCCGGAACAA
rnacentral:rRNA from 1 species